rnacentral:rRNA from 1 species
UACGGGGGGAGCAAGCGUUGUUCGGAUUUACUGGGCGUAAAGAGCGUGUAGGCGGCCGCACAGGUCCGUUGUGAAAACUGGAGGCUUAACCUUCAGACGUCGAUGGAAACCGUGCGGCUAGAGUCCGGAAGAGGAGAAUGGAAUUCCUGGUGUAGCGGUGAAAUGCGCAGAUAUCAGGAAGAACACCCGUGGCUAAGGCGGUUCUCUAGUACGGUACUGACGCUGAGACGCGAAAGCGUGGGGAGCGAACAGG